GUGCUUGCUUUGGCAGCACAUAUACUAAAAUUGGAAUGAUACAGAGAAGAUUAGCAUGGCCCAUGUGCAAGGAUGACACACAAAUUCAUGAAGCAUUCCAUGCUUUU
rnacentral:snRNA from 1 species